rfam:Capsicum annuum cultivar Zunla-1 chromosome 12, whole genome shotgun sequence
AUAUUAUGGUUCGGACACUAUGUUAGCUUCUUCUUGAAUCUCUCCCAAGUCUCAUACUAAGCUUCAGUAGGGAGCUGUGUAAAAUUGCUGAUUUCAUCCCUCAACU